rnacentral:lncRNA from 1 species
GUGAUUUAUGGGACAGUCACUCUGCAUUUUAUUUUCUUCUCUGGAACAGGGAGAAGGCUGUUGAUGGGACUGAUGGAACAUGCAGGUACUAUGAAUUUUAUUGCUAGAGGUUUGCAUAGAACUGAAGCAGAAAGCCAAGAUAAGGUCAAGAAACAGGAAUGGUGUUGCCAUGUGAGGAAACAGCUCUGAGAAGGGAAGCAGACUCUGGAAAUGAAGCUGAGAAAAACAGAGAGCUGAAUUUUCCCUUCACCACCUUAGAAGAGUUGCAGCAGUUAAAGGAAAGCGUUUCCCAGGAAGAGCGCUUUGUGGGCCGAAAGUUGGAGGUUCUGAUCAAGAUCAUGAAGAUCUCCCACUGA